GUCACUUUUUCUUUUGUUGGAGGGCGCAUAGUUUUUCAAUCUCAUGUUUUUUGAGGUAACUAUUAAAAAUAAUUAUUUAAAUGAUUAUAACCAAUGCUUCAUAAAAAGAAUGUGUGACGACAUAAGGAUUUGUUUUGUUCAUUUAUUUGUUCAAUUCAUUUAUCAAGGAAGUGGAAAACGCUCAACGCUUCCUGAAUACCUGGGAAGAAAUGCGUCAAGCUUAUUCUGUGACUGCUGAUUUGGAUUUCUACUGCAAAGGAGGAGUUGAGUUUGGAAAUCCCACUCCCUGACUGCACUUCAUGCACUUUAAGCUGGGGACAUUAAACAGUGGACAUCAGUUUUCAGUUUUAUGUACUCCAGUUUUCAGGUGACCUGAGCCCUAGUGACAAGGCC